GUUCAGACUCCAUUUUAAACUGGACAGAGCAGUCAGAGGAAUACAGGUCGUCUGAGACACGUUCUCUCAGAUUUGGGAAGAUGGCUGAUUUGGAGGCAGACGGGGACAGAUCAGAGUCUCCAGUGUCCAGCUGUCAGCUGUCUUUGAGUGACAACAGUAUAGAACCUGAACCUGGACCCUCAGACACAAAACAGAGAGCAGAGUCUCCAGUAUCCAGCUGUCUGUCUAUGAAGAGUGACUGGUCCAGACUUGAUCCUCCAGCGUUCAGUAAUGAACCUGGACCCUCAGACACAAA